rnacentral:rRNA from 1 species
UACAGAGGUCUCAAGCGUUGUUCGGAUUCAUUGGGCGUAAAGGGUGCGUAGGCGGCGCGGUAAGUCUUAUGUGAAAUCUCGGAGCUUAACUUCGAAACUGCAUUCGAUACUGCCGUGCUUGAGGACUGGAGAGGAGACUGGAAUUUACGGUGUAGCGGUGAAAUGCGUAGAUAUCGUAAGGAAGACCAGUGGCGAAGGCGGGUCUCUGGACAGUUCCUGACGCUGAGGCACGAAGGUCAGGGGAGCAAAAGGG